UUACGACCACAUCACGUAGAAACACCGGUUUCCGUACGAUUACUGAAGUUAAGCUACGUUAAGCCUGGUGAGUAGCUGAAUGGGUGACUACUUGGGAAUACCAAGGGCUGUAA